rnacentral:rRNA from 1 species
UACGGGGGGGGCAAGCGUUGUUCGGAAUUACUGGGCGUAAAGGGCUCGUAGGCGGCCAACUAAGUCGGAUGUGAAAUCCCCAGGCUUAACUUGGGAACUGCAUCCGAUACUGGAUGGCUUGAAUCCGGGAGAGGGAUGCGGAAUUCCAGGUGUAGCGGUGAAAUGCGUAGAUAUCUGGAGGAACACCGGUGGCGAAGGCGGCAUCCUGGACCGGCAUUGA